UACGUAGGGUGCGAGCGUUGUCCGGAUUCAUUGGGCGUAAAGCGCGCGUAGGCGGCCCGGUAAGUCGGAUGUGAAAUCUCACGGCUCAACCGUGGAACUGCAUUCGAAACUGUCGGGCUAGAGGCAGGUAGGGGAGAUCGGAAUUCCCGGUGUAGCGGUGAAAUGCGCAGAUAUCAGGAGGAACACCGGUGGCGAAGGCGGAUCUCUGGGACGGUACUGACGCUGAGACGCGAAAGCGUGGGGAGCGAACAGG
rnacentral:rRNA from 1 species